rnacentral:rRNA from 1 species
GACGAACGCUGGCGGCGUGCUUAACACAUGCAAGUCGAACGGAAAGGCCCUGCUUGCAGGGUACUCGAGUGGCGAACGGGUGAGUAACACGUGGGUGAUCUGCCCUGCACUUCGGGAUAAGCCUGGGAAACUGGGUCUAAUACCGGAUAGGAGCCAUUUUUAGUGUGAUGGUUGGAAAGUUUUUUCGGUGUAGGAUGAGCUCGCGGCCUAUCAGCUUGUUGGUGGGGUAAUGGCCUACCAAGGCGGCGACGGGUAGCCGGCCUGAGAGGGUGGACGGCCACAUGGGGACUGAGAUACGGCCCAGACUCCUACGGGAGGCAGCAGUGGGGAAUAUUGCACAAUGGGCGCAAGCCUGAUGCAGCGACGCCGCGUGGGGGAUGACGGCCUUCGGGUUGUAAACUCCUUUCGCUAGGGACGAAGCUUUUGUGACGGGACCUAGAUAAGAAGCACCGGCUAACUACG